CCUGCCCAGAAGCGGGGGAUAACACCUGGUAAACAGAUGCUAAUACCGCAUAACAACUUGGACCGCAUGGUCCGAGCUUGAAAGAUGGCUUCGGCUAUCACUUUUGGAUGGUCCCGCGGCGUAUUAGCUAGAUGGUGGGGUAACGGCUCACCAUGGCAAUGAUACGUAGCCGACCUGAGAGGGUAAUCGGCCACAUUGGGACUGAGACACGGCCCAAACUCCUACGGGAGGCAGCAGUAGGGAAUCUUCCACAAUGGACGAAAGUCUGAUGGAGCAACGCCGCGUGAGUGAAGAAGGGUUUCGGCUCGUAAAACUCUGUUGUUAAAGAAGAACAUAUCUGAGAGUAACUGUUCAGGUAUUGACGGUAUUUAACCAGAAAGCCACGGCUAACUACGUGCCAGCAGCCGCGGUAAUACGUAGGUGGCAAGCGUUGUCCGGAUUUAUUGGGCGUAAAGCGAGCGCAGGCGGUUUUUUAAGUCUGAUGUGAAAGCCUUCGGCUCAACCGAAGAAGUGCAUCGGAAAACUGGGAAAACUUGAGUGCAGAAGAGGACAGUGGAACUCCAUGUGUAGCGGGUGAAAUGCGUAGAUAUAUGGAAGAACACCAGUGGCGAAGGCGGCUGUCUGGUCUGUAACUGACGCUGAAGGCUCGAAAGUAUGGGUAGCAAACCAGGAUUAGAUACCCUGGGUAGUCCCAU
rnacentral:rRNA from 1 species